GAGUGACUUUAAAAUCCUGGAAAAACAAAUGUCCUAAUGAUCAACUUAAACCCAUGUGGGUGAGCCCUUAUCACAUGUUACUAACCCCUAAUUCUCCUAUGAAACUAGGAUCCAAGCCCUGGCUUCACCAAGCUCAAGUUAAGCAGGCUCCAGACUUACCACCUACCACCCAAGUGACCGUAUCAUCAGAAACCACCGCUCAACCACCUGAGGGUUCCUGCGAGCCCAUUGCAGACUGCGAGGCCUCCCUGCCAUGGGCCACCACCUUCGCAGAAAUACAUAACCCCAGUCUGACGGUGGGGGUCUAUCGGCUAUUGCCUGGGUCUAGUGCGGAAGGCAUGCCUUAGGUCAGACACACAUUCAACAUCUCAGACUGGGAGCAAUGGAUGGAGCAAGUCAUCAAAGGUCAGCAACUCUGGAGAGAGAAUAGUCACAGGGAAUGCUCCACAGCAAAAAGUCUUUUAUUUGGCUCAUUUUAAAAGUUAGUUUCCUAAUGUUUUUUAUUUCCAAGUCUUCUGAAGAACAAACUUCUUUAAGAGAUGUAAUAAUGAAAAGGAAAAGCAUUAGUGUUGCUGUAGGUAAAGAGAACACAUCCAUCUAA